ACAUUACAGUGCAGCAAGAGCCGCAGCAGCUGUGGUCUGUGAGUGGAUCGCUCGGAGCAAGCAAAGGAACUAGUAGUGGCGGCCAUGUGCGCUUAUCAAAGGGUGGCGCUUACUGAGAGUUCCUUGGCAUUCUGUCCACCUCCCUUCUUGACGAUCUUGCAGAAAGUUUGCUUUUUUUGUUUGUUUGGAGGUGGGCAUACUGCCAAUGGAGCUGCGUAGGCCUCCCUUUGUAAAGCCCGCAUGACAUAAGUAAGAGCUACGUUAGAUUUGAUCAUCACCUGUGCCGGAAACGCCUUCGUUUUGCUGCCUUUUCUUGCGUGUGUUCAUUUGAUGGGCCUGUUUGUUUGAUUGAUGUCGAUCGAGGCGUGCCCGGCCGGCCGGUUCUAGCUUGUUUUCUUAGGCUCUUAGCUACAUAUGGUACGUUAUCURAUCCGUUCUAUUCCAAUAAGCCUAAUCUAGUCUGCUGCUCUGAGGCAGCCGACCAUGGUUUUGGCCUUCUGCUUCUGGGGAUGGAAGAGAUAGUUCUCCCCUCCUCCCUUCUUCCGGAUCCACUAUUUUUGCCUUCUUUUGCGCGCGCAGGCAGCCAAGUUCUUCUUCGGAGGUCUAACCCCGCAGUUCAUGCUUUCUUCUUUCUAUCUUCGCAUGCAGAUGCAGACCUGUUCCUGAAUCUUUGAAGGGACUAAGGGAGUCGUCUGCAAUAUCUGACCAUGACGCCAGGGGCCAGGGAUGAGAAGAAAGAAGAUAUAUACAAGUAAACAGCUGUUUCAAUCCUUGCACAACUAUACACUUGAAUACUGCUCGAAUAUGUUUUGCAUAGUACUUACUAGUAAAUAUAGCUAGGGUUUUGUGCCAGUGACUGGUGAUGGUCAUGAUGAGAUGUGCCAUUCUUUU
rnacentral:precursor_RNA from 1 species